GACGAACGCUGGCGGCGUGCCUAAUACAUGCAAGUAGGACGCAGUUGCGAACGGGUGAGUAACGCGCAGGUAACUGCCUAUUAGAGGGGGAUAACUAUUGGAAACGAUAGCUAAUACCGCAUACUAGUAGAUGGACCUGCGUUGUAUUAGCUAGUAGGUAGGGUAAUGGCCUACCUAGGCGACGAUACAUAACCGACCUUGUAGGGGGAUCGGGCACACUGGGACUGAGACACGGCCCAGACUCCUACGGGAGGCAGCAGGAGGGAAUCUUCGGCAAUUGGGGGAAACCUGACCGGGCAACGCCGCGGUGGUGGAGGAGGUUUUCGGUGCGUAAAGCUCUGUUGUUAAGGAAGCGGUACUUAACCAGAAAGGGACGGCUAACUACGUGCCAGCCGCCGCGGUAAUAC
rnacentral:rRNA from 1 species